GGACUGGGACCAACAACGUCUCUCUCUCGCUCUCUCUCUAUAUAUAUAAAUGGGUUCGCGAUUAAAUCGCCUCGACGCGCCCAGUGACCCUCUCCUCUCUCUCUCUCUCUCUCUCUCUCUCUCUCUCCCUCCUCGCAAAGAAAUUAAAGAAGGCGACGGUUGAGAUCGAGAACGGGUUUCCUGUUUUCUUCUCCGCCGCAUCGUCCCAUCGCGAUCUCAACGACGAGCUCCUCCCCUCAGAAUCGCUCUUCCUCUUUUUUUUUCUUUUUUUCUUCUUUUUGGGGUUCUCUGUAUAGCUUUGUCGCAUUUGAUUUGCUUAUCUUUGCUAUCUUUUUCAAGUGCAGGUUCUUUUCUGGGUUUUAUAUUGUUGCUGACGGACUGCGGCUUCUUCUACUUCGUCGGAGGAGAGCGAAAUCGCAUCUCGUCGCCCUCAAGGAACCGCCGGAUCUUCCUAUGAGGACGUGUUUGUGUUUUUGCUACACAGGGUGGGUGUUUGUUGUUGUUUUUGGAGGAGAAGGAUUAUUUGAUCUCUGUAUAUGCAUCUUGAUUUGCGAACUUUAAAUAUAAAAUUGGUUUCUUUUCGAUUUCAA